GUUCGCAACUAGUUUGUCUGAGACUACUUACUUCGCUUAAAGACUUUGGAUUAGUUAUGGUUCAUAAACUCCAAGAAAUGACUUUCAAAAAACUCAUAAAAGGCAAAAACAACGGCUUAAAUGGUCACAACAACGGAGUAUGUUGUUAUACAAGCAUAAAUCACCAGGGGUCUUUUUUUGAUGCU
rnacentral:lncRNA from 1 species